UACGGAGGGGGCUAGCGUUGUUCGGAAUUACUGGGCGUAAAGCGCACGUAGGCGGGAAUUGGAAAGUCAGAGGUGAAAUCCCAGGGCUCAACCUUUGGAAACUGCCUUUGAAACUCCCAGUCUUGAGUUCGAGAGAGGUGAGUGGAAUUCCGAGUGUAGAGGUGAAAUUCGUAGAUAUUCGGAGGAACACCAGUGGCGAAGGCGGCUCACUGGCUCGAUACUGACGCUGAGGUGCGAAAGCGUGGGGAGCAAACAGG
rnacentral:rRNA from 1 species